GAUUAUGGCUCAGAACGAACGCUGGCGGCAGGCCUAAAACAUGCAAGUUGAACGGCCAUAGCAAGUAUGGCAGUAGCGCAAGGGUGAGUAAUGUAUGGGAACGUAUCUUUUGGUGGGGAAUAUUCUUUGGAAACGAAGAGCAAUACCGCAUAAGCCCUACGGGGGAAAGAUUUAUCGCCGAUUGAGCGGCCCAUAUUGGAUUAGCUAGUUGGUUAGGUAACGGCUGACCAAGGCUGUGAUCCAUAGCUGGUCUGAGAGGACGAUCAGCCACACUGGGACUGAGACACGGCCCAGACUCCUACGGGAGGCAGCAGUUAGGAAUAUUGGACAAUGGGGGCAACCCUGAUCCAAGCCAUGCCGCGUGAGUGUUAAGGCCUUCGGGUUGUAAAGCUCUUUUGUAUGGGAAAAUGAUGAUGGUACCAUAAGAAUAAGCACCGGCUAACUUCGUGCCAGCAGCGGC
rnacentral:rRNA from 1 species